GAGGUUAAGCGACUAAGCGUACACGGUGGAUGCCCUGGCAGUCAGAGGCGAUGAAGGACGUGCUAAUCUGCGAUAAGCGCCGGUAAGGUGAUAUGAACCGUUAUAACCGGCGAUUUCCGAAUGGGGAAACCCAGUGUGACUCGUCACACUAUCAUUAACUGAAUCCAUAGGUUAAUGAGGCGAACCGGGGGAACUGAAACAUCUAAGUACCCCGAGGAAAAGAAAUCAACCGAGAUUCCCCCAGUAGCGGCGAGCGAACGGGGAGGAGCCCAGAGCCUGAAUCAGCAUGUGUGUUAGUGGAAGCGUCUGGAAAGGCGCGCGAUACAGGGUGACAGCCCCGUACACAAAAGCGCAUGUGCUGUGAGCUCGAUGAGUAGGGCGGGACACGUGGUAUCCUGUCUGAAUAUGGGGGGACCAUCCUCCAAGGCUAAAUACUCCUGACUGACCGAUAGUGAACCAGUACCGUGAGGGAAAGGCGAAAAGAACCCCGGCGAGGGGAGUGAAAAAGAACCUGAAACCGUGUACGUACAAGCAGUGGGAGCACCCUUUGGGGUGUGACUGCGUACCUUUUGUAUAAUGGGUCAGCGACUUAUAUUCUGUAGCAAGGUUAACCGAAUAGGGGAGCCGGAGGGAAACCGAGUCUUAAU
rnacentral:rRNA from 1 species